ensembl:lncRNA
CUUUUCUAGGGCCACACCCAUGGCAUAUGGAAGUUCCCAGGCUAGGGGUCCAAUCGGAGCUGUAGCCAGCAGCCUACACCACAGCCACAGCAACAGGAGAUCCAAGCCGCAUCUGUGACCUAUACCACAGCUCGAGGCAACGCCAGAUCCUUAGCCCACUGAGCUAGGCCAGGGAUGGAACCAGAAACCCCAUGGUUUCUAGUCGGAUUUGCUAACCACUGAGCUACGAUGGGAAUUCCCAAAGGGUUUUUAUCCUUAUGGGAAGAGAAAUGGGACAGCGCUUCAAGGUUUUAAGUCAUGGGGGGAUGUAAGAGAUAUAAUCCGAAUCAUCUUAUGUUUUUAAAUCAUCACUUUGACUUCUAUGGGGAAAAUGGUUUGGGGGGAGGCAGGAUCACUGUGGAAUAGGUUGAAACGGGGGUGGCCGGGGCCAGUCGUCCAAGAAAGAGAUGUCAGUAGCUUGGCCUCAGGUGGCAGAGAUGGUGCGAAGUGGAGAGAUUGGAGUUAUUUCAGGGUUUAAAUCAGAGGGCUUGCUAAUGGCUUUGAUGAUAGGAGAGUGAGGGAGCCAGAGGUGUAGGUAGGUCCUGGGUUUGGGGUUGGCUCCGCAGAAUGACAAGGGUCCCCUGGUUCCUUUAAAAAGCUGUGUUUUCAGUUAAAUCCCAAUUCUAAUACCAGCUUGUCCCUUAAUGGGAACGAAGGGGCCCCCAGUGAGCAGCUGAUUCAUUAUGUUCUCUCCAGAGCAGCUUGGGGCUUGCUCUAACCAAGUCAAGGGGAUUGAAAUCCUAUUCAUUGUAAGUAAACACAUUUGACUGCCCAGAGGUGCCCCUCUGUGUGGCCAGCAUCACACCCUGCUGCUGACUUGAAUGGUCAAAUUACAUCUUUCACCAGCUCCCAUCAGGAGCUGGUGAAAGAGAUGCCAGCAGGUUCUUAAUUAUCCUGGCUCUUCCAGGUGUCACAAAAUAAACAGAUGCAGAAACUGGAACCCCCAAAGUGUUUAAAGAACAAUUAAUCAUUAAAGAACAAUUAAUCAGCACAUUCUGCAUUAAAGGCUUGGGGAAAAAAAACCCUACACAAUCGAGGUGGUCUGGAGGGAGAAAUUAUUGGCUUAACGAUGAUGGGGGUUGAAAGAGGAGGGACAGAAGGCAGGGACUAUACCAGCUCUACAUCUGGGCCAGUGUGUGCUGUGCCCAAGACCCAAGUAAACCACUGUCAGGUCAUCACAAAAUACGGAGAACAGACCUGAUGUGCACUCGUGAAAGAUGCAGUUAAAGAUCAGUUAGCAGAGAGAGAAGUGAAGGAAGGGACUGAUAUUUAUGAAAGGUCAGGGUUUUCUGCAUUUCAUUCAUUUGGCAAGUAUCUCUUGUACAUCUGCUAAGAGCCAGGCAUUAUUUUAGGUGUUUGGAAAACAGGUGCAAUACAUAUCCUCUUGGGGCUGAUGUUCUAGUGGGUGCAUCAGACAGCAGAAGGACUAUAAGGGAAAAUAAAACAGUGCAGCAAUAAACAUUAGGGGUGCAUGUAUCUUUUCACAUUAUGGUUUUCUCCAGAUAUAUUGCCCAGGAGUGCACUGCUGGACUGAAUAAGGAUGUGGUACGUAUAUACAAUGGAAUAUUAUUUAGCCCUAAAAAAGAAUGAGCUAAUGCCAUCUGCAGCAAUAUGGAGGGACCUAGAGAUUAUGAUGCUAAGUGAAGUAAGUUAGAGAAAGACAAGUAUACAAAUACAUGAGAUCAUGUGUAUGUGGAAUCUAAUGAAAAUGACACAAAAGAACUUAUUUAUAAAACAGAAACAAAACCAAUCUUCUAGUUACCAGAGGUGAAACCACUGGGGGAAGGGAGGAAUUGGGAAGGUAGGAAAAACAUAUACACGCUACUGUAUAGAAUAAAUGAUUAAAAAGAACCCACUGUAUAGCACAGGAAAAUCUACUCAAUGGUUUGUAAUGACCUAUAUGGGAAAAAAAGAAUGGAUAUAAUUCAUGUGUAUGACUGCUUCACUUUAUCCUACACCUGAAAUGAAUACAACAUUGUAAACCAGCUAUACUGUGAUAAAAUUCUUUUAAAAAUAAAGUUAUGUUAACUAAAGAAUCAGAACUUUUGUAAACGGGACCAGAAAGCAAAAUAAACAAUUAUUUCUUUCUCAAAAAAAAAAAAAAGAAAGAAAAGAAAAUUAAAUGAACAGAGAGGGAGGCUGCUAUCAUGAGUAGAGCAAUGAGGAAGCGACAUUUGAGCCAAGGCC